ACAGAGUGAUCUCCUAUGGAAAUCUUUGUCCAAGCCCCCAAAUUUCAGAAUACUAGUGUUUCACUCUAAUUUUUACAUUUAUAGGCAGCAGAAUAUUCUCUCUCUUUUCUCUUCUACAGGAUCUAUGACCACUGCACUGGGGAGCCAACUCUCCAGCAGUCAAACAGUGAUUCCAGGUUCCAGUGGCAUCAUCUCUCACACAACUGUUGCACCUGGAAGUUCUGUUACAGGAACCACCACUGGUGCAUCAGAUGAUCAAGUCACUGGAAGUAAAACAGGCACUACUGGUGUGGCCUUAAGCACAACUGUUGCACCUGGAAGUUCCAGCACAGAAGCCACAACUUCCACAGGAGUCCAUAGAACCACUGUAGUGGGACGGAAGACAGGAGCUACCACUAGAGGGUCAGCAAAGCAAGGAACUAGAAGCACAAUAGCUAUUCAGGAGGCUGAGGCAGGAGGAUCACUUGAACCUGGAUGGAGGUUGCAGUGAGAGAUAGCACCAUUGCACUCCAGCCUGGGUGACAGACAGAGACUAGGGUAGCUUCUGGCAACACAUCUAAACCUGGGAGUUCAAACACAGAAGCUAUGACGUCCUUUAGAGGCACUGGGAUGACAGGAAGUGGAAUGAAUACAGACUUUCCAGG
rnacentral:sRNA from 1 species